UGUGGGAGCGAGCCUGCUCGCGAAGGCGUCGUGUCAGUUUACGAAUAGUCGUCUGACACACCGCUAUCGCGAGCAGGCUCGCUCCCACA
rnacentral:misc_RNA from 1 species